ACCCACCACACGAUGGGAUAGGUGGUUAUUACCAUGCUCAGAGCUGUUCCAGCAAUGGGCUACAUAGCCAGCAAGGCAUGGUACACAGCAGCCAGUUGCUUCUUUAUCAAGGUGUACCAGACCUCUGCUCCUUUCCAUAGUUGUGACCAGAAUCCAAUAGGUUUGUGUGUCCAUUCAAGACACCAUCUAUAACCAUCUUCGGUUACAUGAACAUCGGGUUCACAGGGCCUUGAUGAGUCCAUUACAUUCAAGGCCUAUGUGGCCUUGACUGUCACUUGGCAGCAGUAAAAGCAGCUGCACAUGUCUCAUCCCAGUCCCACGUGAUGCCCUUUUGUACCAAACAGAAUAAGGGCUUCAGAAUUUGUGCCAAGUGCAGAAUAAACACUUUCCAGUAGCCCAAAAGAUCCAAAAACUCUUGUAAUAGAGCCACAGUGGUAGGGGUGGGGAAAGCCUGGACCUUGUCUGUAACUGCUUCAGAAACAACUUUAGUUUUACCGGACCAGACAACCCCCAAGAAUUUCACAGACAAAUCGGGUCCCUGAAACUUGGUGUUUUUCACAGCCCAUCCUUUUUCCUGUAGAUGUUGCAACGGUCUAGGAACUGCCCCUUCUAAAUCGUAAAGACAAUCAGAUAUGAGCAUAAGGUCAUCAAUGUAGUGAUACAACCACACUGUUUGCAGUUUCCUCUGUGUGGCCAAAUCCUGGGCUACAAGUCCAUGACAGAUGGUGGGACUGUGGAGAUACCCUUGGGGAAGGACAGUGAAUGUCCACUGCCGGCCUUCCCACAUGAAGGCAAACUGUUCUUGGCUUUCCUGUGUUAUGUCAAUAAAAAAGAAAGCAUUAGCAAGGUCAACUACAUAAUGACACAUUCCCAGUUCGUGGCUGAGGUUGUCCAGAAUGUCUGCGAUAGAGGGGACAGCAGCAUGCAAAGGUGGUGUGACUUUAUUCAAUUCCCUGUACUCUACAGUCAUAUGCCAGGAGCCAUCUGGCUUUCUCACUGGCUACACUGGGGAAUUAAAAGGACUAUGAGUGGGCUUUAUGAUGCCCACCCUAUCCAACUCCUGUUGAGUUUUUCCAAUUUGUGCCCCCCAGGCAAUUUAUACUGCUUACUAUUUGUCACCCGCCAAGGUACAGGCAGAGCUGCAGGUGGGUGCUUAGCAUGAGCCCUCAGAACUGCCUUUACCACACAUACCCUCAGUCUGAACUCACCUGUAGUGGUCUGUAACCACAGCCCUUGCAGGAUAACUAUCCCCCAAAUAUAUUCAGGGAUGGGAGAAAUAUACACGGUAUACUCCUUUGGGAGUAAACACUCUAUCCCCAAUGAGAUUUGGGCUUUUUUCACUCUAAUUGCCUUCCUCCCCAUAGCUAUCUAUCAGGGGUCCCAGGAAAAUGCUCAGGGUUGCCAUGAAUCAGAGAACACUCAGCUCCUGUGUCCACCAGUGCCAGGGCACGUUGUACAUUCACAGGGGACCAAUGAAUUGCUAAUUGUACAUGUGGCCUCUGGUCCCACCAUGUCCCCCAAGGUGGGGACUUGACCCACUCCUCAGUUGAACCACGAUGCUCAAUCAUCGUCCUGUGGGAGUGAGGGCUCAGGUGAAUCCUGAGUACUGUCUCCCAUGAAGUUUUGCAGGGAUACAGGCUGGGCAUGAGGCCUUCACUCUGGUUUCUGUGUCCUGGACCUCAGCAGCUUGAACUGCUGCUCUGGCUUUAAUUGGUGCCACAGCUCUAACUACAUUUUAUUGGGCUGCCCAUUGAGUUUUUCUUUCACUACCCUGGCCUUUAUCAAAUCAACCCACAUCUGGGUCCUCGAGACCUUCACGGGGCCUUUUGCACUUCUCCUUUCAGUCAUGGCCUGUACUUCCCUCCAUGCCCUUAUUGUUUCAACCUCCCCCAGAUCUGCUAAAGUAUAAGUAGCCUCCCUUAUGGGUUCCCUUAGGAUGGGGGAAAGAGUAUUCACUAGGGACCCAAGGAGAGAUGUGGGAGCUAUAUGCAGCACCAGGUUUCUCAUUCCUAUAGUGAACACCUCCUCAUCAGGGCCCUGGGCAUCCAUAUUAUAGAUGAUGCUUUUCAUACCCAAUUCCUGCAGUACCUGUUGGAGCUCUGCAUACAUUUUCCAACUACUGGGAAAAUAUGGUAAAUCACCCUGAUUAGGCCAAACUAUCCUGAUGGUGAUAGGGAAAAUUUACAAGGACAGCAACCUAGCGGGUGGCUCCACUCUUUGUCUCACACCCCUCCCUCCUCAACAUAAACAACUCUACAAGGACAGUAAUUUAGGAGGUGGCUCCCCUCUGCCUCGCCCCCCUCCUCAACCCAAACAAAAAAAACACUCCCUUGCUUUCCCUGUGCUGCGGAGCACCAGGUUCCAAGGUUCGCUACCUAAAGUCACUCCCCCUUGCCUGCUCGCUUGCUGUGCACGUAGGAAUGUUACAGAUAAGGAAGCAGAAAGGUAUAAAUUGCUCCCUUUUCCUUUGUUUGGGGCUCAGACUUUUUGGGAGACUACUCCCCUCUGAGCCCACUGGUAUGAAAUAAAGCCUCAACACUCCAAGACCUCCGAGUGCCACUUGGUUUUUUCCAUUGGUGAUCCAGUCCAGGCUAUUUUUCAGUAUUUUCUGUAACAUUUCGUUCCCUGACCGGGAAACCCAACCGCGCUGGCCCUUUGUUGCCACUGGUUUGGGGCAACAGCGGGAUGGUGAUGGAACAGAUCACAACGGCGAAGGCGCGCCCUGCCUGACCUUUUGGCAGUCUCCCACCCGGUCGCCCUGGGCCAGCCAUGCUCCACUGUUCCUGCUAGACUCAAGGAGGCUUGGCAUGUGAAGACCUGGUUCCGACAUCGAAUCCGGUAAGGCCCCCGGGGCACCUAACCCAGCCAGUCCCACCCAUUGGGGUGGAAAGGGAGCCUGAUCACCUCCCGGGAGGUUUAUUAGAAGUCUCACAGGUAGACAUUCCCAGGGGGGAAAUGUUUAAACUCUGGUCUGCCUGGGUGUGUGUGUAUGAGUGAGUGUGCUGGGCAGCUGAAGUCAUUCAGUCUGCACUGAAUCUAUGAUUCCACAGCCUGCAAUACGGAAUCUGCGUGUGCCCUCACCCGCUUUCGCGGUCAGCCGUCAGGGCAUAUCGAUGAUUCAGCUUUGGCUGACCUGGCCUGGAACUUAUACAGGUGCACUUUAGCCAAGGCUGACCAGUCUCGCGACGGGAUGGGCAUCUGACUGGUCUGCUCUCUAGAUGAGGCAUCCCUCCCUUGUCUGUUGUCGUGGCACUGUCCACGGAUACAUCAUGGGGUCAGGGCAUAGUAAACCCACAGUUCUCGACACUAUGAUCAAGAAUUUCAGAAAGAGAUUUUCAGAAAAUAACAGAGUAAAAUUAACUCUUGGCAGGUUGAAAACCCUGUGUGAUGUAAUAAGUAUCAGACCAUCCAGCGCAGCCAGUCCAUGUUUUACUAUCAACCCUUCUCCACAACUGAAACCCCGUCAGAAAAGCCAUAAGCAUGGGUUGAUCUUAUGUAACCCCUCUUCUAAAUCAUUUGGCCAACUUAAAAAAAAAACUGUCAACAGCUUCUCAGUAUCCUGUUCACAAUAGAAAAGAAGAGGCAGCUGGGGUCCUUGGUCAGGGUGCAUAGGCUGAAAUUGCUGUCCCCGAGGAACACCCCAAGAGGGACUUCACCCCUGAGGGACAGCACCAGAUCCACCGAUACCAGGACGCCCUCCUCCAGGAGAUCAAAGCUGGGUCUGAAAAGCCUAUGAACAUGACUAAAGUUUUUUCAGUCACUCAACAACCAGAAGAAUCUUCUAGAGACUAUUAUGAGAGACUGUGUGAAACUUAUCGCAUCUGCACCCCUUUCAACUCUGAGUCACCAAGGAGCCAGCAGGUAGUAAACACCAUAUUCAUAGCCCAAGCUGCACCAGACAUCAGAUGAAAGCUCCAAAAGCUUGAGUGCUUCACUGAGAUGACUGAUAUUGCCAAAAAAAAAAAAAAAAAAAAAUCUAAACAAAGAAGUUCAGCCCAACAGAGAGGAAAAAAAAAAAAAAAUUAGGCAAGUGUCCUGGCAGCUGCCCUGAAAGAGACGGAUGGGCAGAAGGCAGAGAGAAGCCAGUCACCUAGAGGGGGGAAGCCCAGGAACCCCCUAGCCAGAGACCAGUGUGCUUACUGUAAAAAUAAAAGGGGGGGGGCAUUAGAAGGAUGAAUGCCCCAAAUGAGGAAAAGCCCCAAAGCCCAGUCGCUGCCAGGAAGAGCCCCGUGAGGAAAGGCUCAUAAGUGUGGCAGGAGCAGACUCAGACAGACAAGGACCAGGCUCUCUUGCACUCGGCCCCCGUGAGCCCAUGGUCAGAAUGAAAGUGAGGGGCCAAAACAUGACUUUUAUAGUUAACACAGGGGCAUAACACUCUGUGGUCACCCUCCCUGUAGCCCUCUUCAGUGAAAAAGUCUGCAACUAUUCUCAGUGAAAGAGUAUCUCACCGCGACCCUCCUUAUCCAGGAUGACUCAGGUGACAUGGGCCCACGCAAGAGAUCUUUUAUCUGAAAGAGAAAGUGGCUGCCCCAGAGAGAUAGAGAGAGAGAAAGAGCAAUGGGACAGAGAGACAGAAAGCUGAGAGAGCAGAGGUACAGAGAGACAGAGAGAGAGAGCAAGCAGCAGCACGGUGCAGAGUUGUGCCUUUUAUUGUGGUAAAUCCCCUUGGCCUGUUGCCUUGGGGAUGGUCGGGAUGUUUAGAGAUAAGGUGGGGUAGGCCCAGGCAUGAUUCUCACCGGCUUAUGUGCUUGAGACCAUGCAGUAAAUGAAAGAUAAAUUACUAUAUUCUUACACUUGGAGCCACAAAGACAGUGGCAGUAUCCCCUCUCACAAGAGGCGAGAGCAGGCAUCCAAGAAUGCCUAAUCAGACUCAGAGAGGCAGGCGCCAGUGUCUCAGAGAGAAAUCAAGGCAGAAAAUUAAUCUUUAAUAUUCAAGGACCCCAUGCCAUCCUACUCUGUUACUAACCCUCAGGCCCUGUAUUAUCAACAGGCUGGUCCAGUUUGUCAGAGACCAUGUGGAGGCUGUCCGACUGAUAGUCCUCCAUGCUCAAUACAAGCCUCUAGUAAUACUGUUACACCUGCUUACCUUUGAACCGUGUAUCCUCAAUAGACUGAUGACUUUUGUCAAAGAUAAAAUUAAUACAGUCCAGCUAAUGAUGCUAAGACAACAGUAUCAGCCUUUAUCUCCUAACAACUGCAAGAGGUUCUGGGAUCCCAGAGACCCCCAGGACUCCUGACCCAGAGGGCCCAGUGCUGGCUGGUGAGUGCACUCAGUUAUCUGUCUGUCUUUGUCUAUCUGUGUCUCACUGUUUUUGUUCGUGAACAAGCCUGUAUAUGCCUGUAGGAGCUCCAAUCUGUAUCAGGGUUGGCAUUGACUUAGGCGGACGCGCUGGUGGGUCGUUGACCGGGGGUCUUGGGAGAUGUCCCUUGCCCCCAUCUGGAGGACGAGGUCCUCAUCUGUGAGGAAAGUCAGCUGCCACUGCGGUCCGACAGGCCCUCAACUUACUUUCAGUUUUGCCUCUGCGGCCGCGGCAGAUUCUUCCCUGUAGGUGCCUGUUUGUUGUUUGUUGUGUUUGUCUUAGUCUUGUUGUUGACAGAAGAAAUGAGACAGAUGCAAACGACCCCCUUGUCUCUCAUGACAGACCAUUUUCCAGACGUUAGGGAGAGAGUUCACAAUCUGAGCAUGGACGUCAGGAAGAGAAAAUUUCGUGUUUUCUGCACCUCCGAGUGGCCAUCCUUUAACGUUGGCUGACCGCUGGAGGGAACAUUUGAUCUAACCACUCUUUUACAGGUUAAAGAUAUCAGGAGAAGAGCUAACAACCUCGGUGUGGAAGACGGGAAGGGUCGGUAGUAGACUUUUUGUUCUAGCGAGUAGUCAGCUUUCGAUGUCAGAUGGCUGCCAGAGGGAACCUUAUUAUGUCUCAAUCUGUAUGUUUGUGUGUAUAAAUGAAAAUAUCUUUCUACCUCCGGAUGGUAUUAAUGAAAUUGAUUUAAAGACAAGUACUUGUGAAAAUUUGGCAUUCUAAAACUCCCAGAAAAUUCUAAUAGAAAAUAUUAAGCAUUAAUGCUAAUUUAAGUUAAACUGAAACAGACAUGUCCUUAUAGUUAUCAGCCACCUAAGUUUACCUAAAGUCAUUUAAGUUGAUGUUAUCUGCUAAAUCUUUCAAGAAUAAAAUGCUUAGAGGCUUGACUUUGUCUAAUAUUCAGUAAAGGUUUUGUAAGUAACCUAGCAUAGUUGUUAGGAAUGAGUGAACUAAAUAAGUGUGGUAAAUGAACACUUUAAUAAUUGUGUGUUACAGUGUGUAUACCUACGUACAGCCUGAGAAUCUUUGUACCUACAGCCUGAGAAUUUUAGUAACCUAAAACCUUAAAGUUUUGCUAAGUUAAAAAGACAUACUUUAUGCUUAGUGAGAAGUUGUGCUGUAAAGCUCAUGGUUACAGAAAUUAUAAAAUGUAUUCAUAAAUUUGUCAAUCUAAAAAAUGUUAGCUUAACAGUUUACAAUAGCCUACUUCUCAGUGUUCACUGAAAUUUAAAGUUCCUAAUGGUUUAAGUUCUAACUAAAACUACUUAAAGUAAUAAGGAAAGCAUUUCCCUAUGCAAAAAAAUGUAUGUUUUAAAAAGAGAAGGUAUAAAGAAUGGAAAUUCGUUCUGCAUGCUAAGGAAUGUGUCUUUUGAUAAAAGAAAGUAACUUUGUUCUAAAGUAGAGCUGUUUAUUUAGAGGGAGAAAUCUAAAUGUAAAAAGAAAGUUGUAGAAAGUUUUAGAAGAAUUUAAUAUAGUCAUGCUAUAUAAAAUUAAAGCAAAUAAGUCUCAGUAUCAAGUACACAGCAAAAUUAAAAUUUUGUUUUCAGUUAAAAAGACAGUCUUCUUAACUGUUAGUCUGCUCUUAAUAUUGAAAGAUUGCAAAGAGUUCUCUAAUUGUUUUAUCAAAGCAGUUUCUCAUACUUAAAGUCUCAAUGAGUUGUUGGAGUAUUAAAAAAAAAUGAGAUCUUAAUAUUAAAAAGACUAAAAGCUAAAGUUUGCUAACAACUGUGUAAUCUUUUGUUACAUAAGAUUAAGUAAACUAAAGAAGAUGAUGUUGUGUCUUUUUGUCUCAAAUGUUGCUACUAAGUAUUUUAAGCUUUUUCUCUUAAGCUGACAACAGUUUAGUAAAUGACUAUCUUUAUAAGCAGAAUUGUAACAUUUAUCUUUCUCCCUACCUAAUCCCUCCAGAAUUUAAAAACUUUCAGUGACUAUUUUUAUAUUUCAUGGCAGUAUGUUUAUUUGCAUAAGUUCAAUAAGAAUCUGCUUUCCUUGUAAGAAGACCAAUUAAAACCACUGGUUAUACUACCAAGGCUUUGACUAGAAUGUCAUACCUGAGAAGCACGUGCAUAAACUCAGAUAUGAACAGCUUUAAGGAACUAAGGUUGACUUUAUAAAGCUAACAAAGCCCCUCCGAAGAACUGUCCUGGUACCUUGUUUACGGGGUUCCCAGCAACCUUACCAGGUGAGUAAAGAAGGUCACUGCCUGACAGGUGCAGGAACCUCAGAGAAGGGAGGAAUUAACCCAAAUGUACAGGUACUGCAGGCACAACCUGAGGGCAAGGCUAGCUUGGCUUUCUCGUGUCAAGAAGCCUUUAAAAGUCCAAUCUGAAAUUACUUAUAAAAAGUUCCAGCAAAGCAUAUUUAAAAGCGCCUAUGUAAUCAAUUGCUCUUCUUGCUGCACUUAUGCAAAUAAUUAAACCAAGUGUUAUUUUCUUAAUCUGGCUACUUCUAAUAAAAAUGAGGGUGAUUUUAGAGAAAAAUAUUGUUUCAAUAAUGCAGUCUUAUCUCUACUAAAUCCUAAUACUAGUCAUUGAGAUGUAAACUUGAUCCAGAAUUCUAGUUUCCCCAUGAUACCUGGCUGUGACUCUCAAUUAGACUCUUCAUAUUUCUAGUUCUCAUAUUCAGCCAUGCAUUCUUAAUCUUGUCAGGUUUGUCCUUCCAGAAUAGAAAAUCCAACUCCAGAUAUUGCUACUUAAUAAUAUGAUUUGUUCUAUCUCACCUAGAAGCCACAAAACUGCAAAUAGUAAUAGAAAUGAAACUCAGAAUAGAAGAGCCAACCUUCUGAGGCCCUCUGAACUGACCAGUGAUGGAGACCUAACUGCACCCAGUACUGCGGCCCCUCUCAGCAUGAAGCAGCCAGAGCGGUCAUCACCCCUUUUCCCUAGCAGCAGCUAAGGUCUCUAUCUGUAGAGCGGAGAAUGAGACAAGGACCAUAGGCUUAGACAGAAUAAGGUUGCAGGCAUCACUCCAAGAGUCCGUCAUUCCAGAGUGAAAAAAAGCCUGUCAUCCUAACAAAGAAGCACAUUAGCAGGAGGCCCGGCCAGACCUCCAUAUCCUCUCCGCCUCCGCAUCUGACAAUUGCCCUCUGACUAAUAGACACCUGCGCGCCGUAGAUUCUGGCUCUUGUUGGAGUAGUGUCUUUUAUUCUGGGCAUUGGACUCUAUGCUAUUGCACCCCUGGACUGGACUAUUCCUCAAAAAAUGUUGCCCUUUCUAUUGUCUAUUGGGUAAUCAUUAAAUUGUUUUACUGUGCUUACCUGUCUCUCCUAGCUGGACCCAAGUCUCAGCCUGCAUUUCCAAAGUACCUCUCUGUAAUGUUUCAUUGUAUAAAAGUUAUAAAGUGCAUAGUGGGCUAAAGGGAGCUACCUCCUUUUCCCCAGUGAGAUUUCCUAGGCAGAACAAGCUGCCCCUUUACUGAUCCCAGCUCUAGUUGGGCUCAGUAGAGCUAGAUCAGCUGCAGUAGGCACAGCAGCUCUAAUAAAGUGACUUAGGGCUUGAUGCCCUAACAGAGGAAGCUGAUCAAGAUUUAGAGCAGCUUGAAACCACCAUGAUUCAGCUGCAAGAUCAGACUGAUUCCCUGGCUAAAGUAAUGUUGCAAAAUUGUAGAAGACUAGACCUCCUGUUCAUGUCACAGGAAAGCUUAUGUAUAGCCCUGAAAAAAGAUUGUUGUGAGUUAUCUAGCCAAAGUUAAAGAAAACAUCCAGCAUAGAAAUAAAAUGUUUGAAAAUAAAAGGUCUUAGUUCCAGAGAUGGUUUGAAUAGAAUCCAUGGCUAACAACUCUUCUAACUGGCCUUGCUGGGCCAGCGAUUCUGCUGUUCCUUAAACUAUUAAUGAAACCCUGUAUAUUUAACUGGCUCAUUAACUUUAUCGAGGAAUGCCUUUCCUCCAUACAGCUCAUGUAUAUGUGGAGCCACUAUGACCCUGUCAUAAGCCAAAGAGAUGAUGCCCCCUAGGUGUUUAAAGGGGCAUCAGAGGGGGGAAUCAUAGGGAAAAUUUACAAGGACAGCAACCUAGCGGGUGGCUCCACUCUGUCUCACACUCCUCCCUCCUCAACAUAGACAACACUACAAGGACAGUAAUUUAUGAGGUGGCUCCCCUCCGCCUUGCCCCCUUCCUCAACCCAAACAAAAAAAACACUCCCUUGCUUUCCCUGCGCUGCCCAGCACCAGGUCCCAAGGUUCACUCCCUAAAGUCACUACCCCUUGCCUGCUCGCUUGCUGUGCACGUAGGAAUGUUACAGAUAAGGAAGCAGAAAGGUAUAAAUUGCUCCCUUUUCUUUUGUUCGGGGCUCAGACUUUUUGGGAGACUAAUCCCCUCUGAGCCCGCCGGUGUGAAAUAAAGCCUCAACACUCCAAGACCUCCGAGUGCCCCUUGUUUUUUUCCGUCAGUGAUCCAGUACAGGCUUUUUUUCAGUAUUUUCCGUAACAAUGGCAGCCGUCAGCCAUUCCAAGAGUGUCUGAUUCCCUGAGGUGUGACAGGCAUUUUGCAACUGAGGCUGGAGGGAAGGGUAUUUUGCCCCAGGAUUUCCUCCCCCCGGACUAACAGGCAAUUGAAGAUUUUUUUGGAAAGCACUAGAUAUUGGAUGAUGUCACACAUCAUGAUUAAAUUUUCUUAGGCAUGGGCAAGGAAACGAUAUGGUCAUGAUGGUAAUUGUUGAGGCAUGUGUUAUGGACACUUGGAGGUACGUUAUUUUCUUACGUACACUUACGUAUGAUUCAGUAUGCCCGCAAUCCCUUCCCUGCUUCCUUCUCCCUGCUCCUCCUUACCCCACUUCCAAAAAUGUUUUUAAGAAACCUGGCCCAAUUAACGAACAUAUUCUCUUUUGGUCAGCAAAAGAUGACACCAAGAGAGAAAAAGAAGAGGCUAUCUGCCCAAGGGAGAUAACUCACAACAGCUGUCCCCUCCUUUCAUUGCACAGGCCGGAUAGAGUAAAGAAUUGCUAUCGCCAUCUUGUGGCCCGUUAGGAUAAUGCACCUAAACUUUUGUUAAAUGGUUUCUAUUAGGCAGUCCAUUGUUAGGGUUUAAUAAUUCAUAUAGAAAGAAUACCAUAAGCAAUCCAGUUCCUAACAGUCAACUGCCAGGUUCCCCCAUCAAUAACAAAGAACCACUCUUAAUAGUUUCCCGUGUACCGGUCUGGAAAAAUAAAUAUAUAAAUGGAGAUUCUCUUCUUCCUCUAACACAAAUGGCCAAUGGUUAUAUUCCUCUCAUGAUUCUGACCCUUUUUUUCUAAUUAUCUAGUUUAGAACCCUUUCCUAUAAGUA